rnacentral:rRNA from 1 species
UACGUAGGGGGCGAGCGUUAAUCGGAAUUACUGGGCGUAAAGCGUGCGCAGGCGGGUAUUUAAGUCAGGUGUGAAAGCCCUGGGCUUAACCUAGGAAUUGCGCUUGAGACUGGAUAGCUUGGAGUGCGGCAGAGGGAGGUGGAAUUCCACGUGUAGCAGUGAAAUGCGUAGAGAUGUGGAGGAACACCGAUGGCGAAGGCAGCCUCCUGGGCCAGCACUGACGCUCAUGCACGAAAGCGUGGGGAGCAAACAGG